rnacentral:lncRNA from 1 species
GAGCACACCUGAGACACAAGGACAAAUUAAAGCCAGUGAAUAAAACUAAAGGUCACUUUAAAGGAGUAUAAAGCUACAGUGGACAUAACGUGGCAUAGGUGAUCUUGACACCACAGAACUGUGAAGCCUGCAAUCCUACAAUAUAGAGGGGUAUGAGGAAGACAUCUCAGGAUACUGAAGAGUGUUGCAGAGGACCCACAAAUAGUCCUGAGCAUGAGAUGGUGGACAACAAACCCAUUUU